UGAGAGUCAGCUUAGGAAUUUUUUCAUUAAUAAAUUCACACACUAUAUUAUGAUACCAUGUUUUAGAUAUAUUAACUCAAUUUGUCUUUCAAAUUUGGUCUCAAUGAUGGUGGAUCGAAGGAUAGUUAUGAUUUAAAUUUAGCUAUGUUAAUGCUAAGAGUUUUGUCUCUUUAGCAUUUGUAAACUGAUUUUUUUCUUCAAAUAUGAAUGACUGUUUCACGAUACAAACAGGCAAGAUAUGUACGAUUAAAAGACCAAGUUUGUUGGCCGAUCCGACUCCAAGGAUCGCAACAGAUGGAGAACAAUUGUACAAGAGAGAUUGAUGCAGCGGUGAAGUCAUGACCCUCAUUAAUGAGGAGAACGAUGCAAGAAGAAUCUGUUCCCAUAAUAUAAAGUGUACAUAAUUAUUAUCAUUAUAAUUAUUACACCAAUAAAAUUUUAUUUAUUACAAUUUA